rnacentral:rRNA from 1 species
AAAGGUGAAAUUGGUUGUUAUAAAGCAAACUGUAAAUAUAAAUUGAAGCUAAAAAAAUUAGAAAUAAACCAGGAUUAGAUACCCUGUUAUACUAAAUAAAAACGAUUUAAACCGAAUUAUUAAAAGAUACAUUCUUAAAACUUUAAGAUUUGGCGGUAACUUAGUCUAGUUGGAGGAACCUGUUUUUUAAUCGAUAAACCACGUUAGUUCUUACUUGAGCUUGUAUACCGUCAUUAUCAGAUAAUUUUUAGAGAAAAUUAUUAUAAUUUAUACUAUAAAAAAAAUUAGAUCAAGGUGCAGCCUAUAAAUAAGUUAAAAUGGGUUACAAUAAAUAAUAUUUAUACGAAUUAAGGAAUAUAAAGGAGGAUUCAAUUGUAACUAAUUUUCAAAUAUUUAGUUGAUAUUAGCACUAAGUUAUGUACAUAUUGCCCGUCGCUUUC